GCGGCCGAAGGCCGCGCGUUCCGUUUUUUGUGCUCCGGUAAAAUGCCCAGCCGUAGUCACGGUCGAAGGCUCUAUCACAAACUCCCGGCCGAAGGCCGGGUCACAACACAGUGCGCGGCCGAAGGCCGCGCGUUCCGUUUUUGUGCAUUGGUAAAAUGCCGCGCUUUUUUUUGUUUGGGUAAAAUACCCAGCCGUAGUCACGGUCAAAGGCUGUAUCAUAAACUCCCGGCUGAAGGCCGCGCUUUUUUUUGUUUGCGUAAAAUACCCAACCGUAGUCACGGUCAAAGGCUGUACCAUAAACUCCCGGCCUUAGGCCGCGCAAUCCGAUUUUUGUGCUUGAGUAAAAUGCCCUGCCGUAGUCAUGGUCAAAGGCCCUAUCACGAACUCCCGGCCGAAUGCCGGUCUAUAAUAAAGUUUAAAGCGCGUUUUUUGUGCUUGGGUAAAUUGACCAGGAAAAGAGGAGGACUUUUCGCAAACUUUCAACCCCUAUUUCACCCCCUUCUGAUUUUAUUUUCGCUAUAAAAAGUAAAAUAUAACCUGCUCCGUAUUAUGUUCUCAAAUCGUGCUAAGUUUCAUUUAAAUUCAUUCAGUAGUUUCAGUGUGAUGCCCGGUCAACAAAAAAUAGGGACAGACAGACAAAUAAUCGAAAAAAAAUGUUUUUGAAUGCAGUAUCAAUUGUAUAAUGCCCUAUGAUAUAUUUUUUUUUUUAAUUAAUCAAAAAGUUCUGUAAUUUGACCUGUUACCUACAGUUUUAUUAUAAGAAUAGAGUAUAGAUAGUUGUAUUUAAUAGCUAUUGCGCCAAAUUCGUGCUCUUUUUAUAGUAAUAAAUCUUGCAUGAUAUUAUACGAUAAAAAAAAAAGUAGACAAUGUGACUAUUUAAACAAAAAAAAAAAGUUAAAAAGGAUUAUUCAGUUUGAACCUGAACUUUAAAGUAGUUCCUGAGAUUAAUUUCGCGCGUUCAACCAAAUAAACAAACAAAUUGGUCAGUUAAGUAUAGAAUAUGUGCCUCAAUAUCGAGUUAUACACAGUUAUAGUGGAAAACUCGUUUCUCCAAAUAACGCCUGCGAAUCAAUUUGAGCAAUCUGGUUUUUUCAAGAUUACUUUUUUUCUAUCUGUCCGAUUUUAAUGAAACAAAGCCUAUAUGUUGCCCUAAACUUAGCUUAAUCUAUUUGUGAAAUCCGCAUCAAAAUCCGUUCAUCAGAACCAGAGAAUAGCGCGAACAUACAGACAGAAGGACAGACA